rnacentral:sRNA from 1 species
GAACAAAUUGGAAUUGGCAAAAAUGGAGAGCGAGCCUGUGGGAUGAUAGCAGCCAAGGUUCACAUGAUUACUCAGAGCUGCAGGAGAGUGGAGAGGCAAGAGAGGAUGUAUCUGUACAACGAAAUGGUCCAAAUCAGGAGACUUUGGAUGAUUCUAGAAAACACCGGGCCUUGGUGAUGUUUUCAGAUCUUUAUUAUAGUGGGCUGACUGAAUGAAAUGAUGAAUUUUGUUCUGUUGUGCUCUUAUCAGUCAUAAUCCAGCCUCAAUUAUAGAAGACAAGGGGAGGAACUGGCCAGGAAAUACGUACACACAUGCAGCCUGCUCUCCACAAACAAAACCACUCUCUAAGCCUCAGUUUCUCUACCCCUACCUACUGGUAACCCUUUCCUGAAACAAAAAGGGACAGCUCACUGCUUACUUAUGUCAUACUGUUUUCAGUGACUUCUAAUUAAUCAGAUCAUUUUCUACUUUUGUACAAAGGAUAAUUUGCUACAAUAAAAGUGAAUAUAAAUCAGUAGGUCUUAUCAUACAAUACCCAAUUUGGACCAAUUCUUCUGAAAGUAGAGAGAUUUUAUUAUUUUUAAAAUUUGGUUUUGGAAUACUGGGAACUGAAACUAGGAUCUCAUACAGCAUGUGAUGAGUGCUCUACCACUGAACAACUUUCCCGGCCUCUGACAAGGAGCUUUUCAAUGGGGUGAUCAAGGAUAUCAAGGAAGGCAGUUUACUUACAGACAGAUGAGAACAUGUGAAGUGCCUGUCUCACCAAGCAACCAAUGCAGUCAGUGCUUAAUACAAGGGUUUAUUUUUCCUUUAAGCAUGUGUGUGCGCACACACAUACACACCCACACACACUCACCACAAGCAGGUGCACAUAUAUUCUAACAUUCAGGAUUUUAGGAUCUGCACAUGGAUCCUGUGUUAUGUAUUCCUAUGAUGUGUGACUCUGAGCAAUGUGACAGACAAGGACUUUUAUUAUGAAUUCUUCAGAGGAGAAAACCGAGAUUUAGAAAGGAAACAUAACUUGGGAAAUUACUUCUUAGGAUUCAAACUCAGAUCUGCCUAACUCCGUUAAUCACUAUGUGUGACUGCUUCUUAGGCCGUGCAGAUAACUCAUGCCAUCUAUGUGAGUGUGUAGUUACAUAGUGUUGUGUUCUACUCAACAGACUUAAACACAUAAAUACUGAACAAUAGUGACUUAUUCUUCUGCCCAGUUUCUGUGGGCUAGAGAAUUAGUAGAGUCCUUUUAAAAGUGUGUGUGUGUGUGUGUGUGUGUGUGUGUGUGUGUGUGUGUGUGUGUGUGUGUAAGCCAGGAGAAAACAGCAGAUCCUCUGGUGCUGAUAUCACAGGCCAUUGUGUUGUGGGUCACCUGACAUGAAGGUUAAGAACUGAGUUUGAGUCCUCUGAAAGAGCAGCAAGUGUCUUAACUAUGGAGUUAUCUCCCAGUUCCCAAUUCAGCUAUAUCUUAACAAGUCAGUUCCGACUUAGGAUCUCCUAUUCAGUUGCUUUAGGAUGUUGGCUAAAACUAUAGUUCUCUGAAGGCAUGGUUUAUGAAGGAAGAUAACCUAGGAAGCACGCUUGUUUAUAUGUUUAGCAACUUGGUACCAGUCCAAACUGAAUGUUUCUGCUGCUCUAGGUGGCUUAUCCCAGAAACUCUUGAGCACGGUGUCUGGUGCUCUUCAGAAUGAGUAACAUGAAGGUUGAAUCAGCAAUAGCUUUAUGAACUAGCCUCAGACAUGACAUACUCUUGCCUUGCCUCACUGUGUCAAAUAUCCAACUCUGAUUUGAUUGGUAAAAAUCUAUGUAUGUGUGAUAAUAGUAGGAGACACAAUCAUUCGGGAAGUUUUCUAGAUUGGUAACUCUCAAACCUGUCCUUAUUCUAUUUUUAUAAACUCUUGGAGCCAAGACUCCAGUUUUCCACUCUUGCUACAUUUUUUCAUUUAUUUUUUCCUCCUCAGAAACUAUUGCCUGCCUCCCUUUCAAGCCUGGAAUACGGUGACUGUGUAGGUAAUUGUGAUUUUCAAUAUGACAAGAUGGAGAAUUGCAUAGUCCAACUGCCAUGUACAUCUGUGAAGAAAUUUAUAAACUACUUUUAUUGUGGUGAAAUAGCCAACCCUAAAUAUGGGUGACAUCAGACCAUGGAGUGGGUUUUGGGACAAAAAAAAAGGGAGGAAAAAAUGACCUGUAUCCUCAAACUGUGAGCCAAAUAAAACCACCCUGAAGUUACUUUUUCCAGGUACCCUGUCAUUCCUGGAUGAAACCGCGAACCUCUACAUCUCCCUCAGUCCUUCUGUGGUUAUUUCCAAGGCAAUGGCCAAAUAACUCCUCUCGAGUUAUAGCACUCCGCUGCUCUGUGGACAUCCUAUGCACCAUCCUACUUCAGGGACACUACACUUGAUCCAUCUUCCUGGAAGACUCUGAGCUCAGAUGUCCACUUCUUUUCAUGUCUUAUUCAGCUGUCACUUUCUCAAGGAGACCUGACCUGGCUGGCCUUCCACAAUAUUGAUACCUCCUUCAGCUCCUACUCUGUAGUUUAUUUAUUUUCCCCUUAGCCUUUAUCUCCAUACUACAUAAUCACAUGUAUAUAAUUAUACUUAUUUUGUUUCCCUUAGUCCCAUUCCUAAUAUAACGUAAGCUCUAAUCAAGCAAGAAUUUCUAUAUCCUACAUGGAUGUAACCAAUGCCUGGAUCCUCAGUGCCAGCCCUUUUGAGGACUUAAGUAUGAGGCCAAGAAAACGAGAGCAGGUUCACUUUGAGCUCAGGAUGUUUGCCCUCCAACUUCCCACUUCCUGUGUGGCUCAGGAAUGCUCUUUACUCAUUGCUCUACAGUCUUCUGGAUGAUACCAGAAACACCCCGAUCGUGGGGCACACAGUGGCUGAGCAUUCUAGUGGCAUGAGGUUGAAAAUGGGUGAAUCUGGAGUCAUCGAGAUGCCUUAUCAUAUAAAGUGUCUCAUGGCCAAGACUGAUGAGAUCCAACCCCAUAAGCCAUGGUAGAAAAAGAGAAGUCAAUCUUGCAAGUCGUCCUCUGCUCCGUAAACAUGUACCAUGCACCUCCUCAUAAACAAACACAUAAUGGUGUAAGAAAAAGAAGCGAGGCUUUCUGUAUAAAAGUGAAAUGAAACUUAGAAAUAAGAAGACAAUUCUGAAAUUGUUAUCUGACUUGAUGAAAGAACAUUUACCCGGAUAUGUAGAAAAUAUUAAGAAUUCCUUUUAUAGUGAAAACUCCCUGUCUCCAACUUUUAUCCUAUCAAGGAAAAAGAAUAUAUGUAGGCAUCAAAACAUGUAGUCUGUUAAAAUGCAUAAUACUGUGCUGUCAGCAUGCACUCUGCGCCCUCGGUACCUCAUUCUGACGAGUAUGGUCAGGUUGUAUCUUUCAAGCAGAAUUCAUUUUUGAAAUUCCUAUGAUGUUACUGGAAGUUGUUCACUACUUUCUUCUUCAAAUGGCAUCCGUGUCUCCUGAGAAAGAUUUCUGAAAGCCUUUAUUUGACUCUUGACAGCUGUGUGUUCUUCUAGACGGCUGGAAGGGACUCUAUCUUGUCUAAAUGUGUGUGUGAAAUUACCCAAUCCGUGCCUUCGUCUCUGCAGCAUAACUAGUGUGGUACCAAGAUGUUUCCCUAAUAUCUCUACCACAACUUCCAAAUCGUGUUGACUGAAAGCAUUAAAAGGACAAAUUGCCAUGGUAAAGCUACUGACCCCUCAUUUAUGGAACUGCUUCCAUUAUUUUCCCUCUGACUUUACAGAGUGCUUUUCAGUCACCAGUACAUCUGAUCCAGUGGAUGAAACUCAACUGUACUUAAAAAUUGUGGUCAAGCAUCGUGUCAGAAAUCUAAACCAGCAGACUUGUCAUUUCACAAAAGGUUGUGGUUCUUGUAAUGAGAGAGUGUUUCGCUUAGUAUGUGAAGCCAGGGACUAAUGCCUUGUUUCACAGCUAAUCACCAAUGUGCUGAUGUAACUGGACCAGUAUUUGAAUAAAGGCUGCACCGUCAAGUGGCCUUGAGAACUAGAUGUAAGAAAUUCCGCUUCACUCAAUGUAAAAAUCAAAUCUGAGUGGGGAGGUGGAAUAUUAUCCUGAAAGCAAAUGUAUGGUGUGU